CGAACGAUGAACCUGUGCUUGCACGGGGGAUUAGUGGCGAACGGGUGAGUAACACGUGAGUAACCUGCCCUUGACUUCGGGAUAAGCCUGGGAAACUGGGUCUAAUACUGGAUACGACCUCUCAUCGCAUGGUGUGGGGGUGGAAAGUUUUUGCGGUUUUGGAUGGACUCGCGGCCUAUCAGCUUGUUGGUGAGGUAAUGGCUCACCAAGGCGACGACGGGUAGCCGGCCUGAGAGGGUGACCGGCCACACUGGGACUGAGACACGGCCCAUACUCCUACGGGAGGCAGCAGUGGGGAAUAUUGCACAAUGGGCGAAAGCCUGAUGCAGCGACGCCGCGUGAGGGACGACGGCCUUCGGGUUGUAAACCUCUUUCAGUAGGGAACAAGGCAUCAUUUUUGUGGUGUUGAGGGUACUUGCAGAAGAAGCACCGGCUAACUACGUGCCAGCAGCCGCGGUAAUACGUAGGGUGCAAGCGUUAUCCGGAAUUAUUGGGCGUAAAGAGCUCGUAGGCGGUUUGUCACGUCUGUCGUGAAAGUCCGGGGCUCAACUCCGGAUCUGCGGUGGGUACGGGCAGACUAUAGUGAUGUAGGGGAGACUGGAAUUCCUGGUGUAGCGGUGGAAUGCGCACAUAUCAUGAGGAACACCGAUGGCGA
rnacentral:rRNA from 1 species